CCAUACUCCUACGGGAGGCAGCAGCAGGGAAUAUUGCACAAUGGACGGAAGUCUGAUGCAGCGACGCCGCGUGAGUGAAGACGGGCUUCGGGUUGUAAAGCUCUUUUACGGGGGACGAGGAAGGACGGUACCCUGGGAAGAAGUGUCGGCUAACUACGUGCCAGCAGCCGCGGUAAGACGUAGGACACAAGCGUAAUCCGGAGUUACUGGGCGUAAAGCGCCUGCAGGCGGCCUGGUAAGUUGGACGUGAAAGCCCCGUGCUUAACGCGGGGAGGUCGGACAAUACUGCCAAGCUAGAGUGCGUCCGAGGGGAGUGGAAUUUCCGGAGUAGCGGUAAAAUGCGCAGAUAUCGGAAGGAACACCAGUGGCGAAAGCGACUCCCUGGGGCGCGACUGACGCUAAGAGGCGAAAGCUAGGGGAGCGAACAGGAUUAGAGACCCUGGUAGUCCUAGCCCUAAACGAUGGAUGCUAGGUGUGGGACGUAAAGUUCCGUGCCGGAGCCAACGCGAUAAGCAUCCCGCCUGGGGACUACGGUCGCAAGGCUAAAACUCAAACGAAUUGACGGGGACCCGCACAAGCAGCGGAGCGUGUGGUUCAAUUCGAUGCUACACGAAGAACCUUACCUGGGUUUGACAUGUACGUGGUAGAGAAGCGAAAGCGGAUUGACCCUUCGGGGAGCGUACACAGGUGCUGCAUGGCUGUCGUCAGCUCGUGCCGUGAGGUGUCGGGUUAAGUCCCGUAACGAGCGCAACCCUUAUCCU
rnacentral:rRNA from 1 species